GUGGGGAAUAUUGGACAAUGGGCGCAAGCCUGAUCCAGCCAUGCCGCGUGAGUGAUGAAGGCCCUAGGGUUGUAAAGCUCUUUCACCGAUGAAGAUAAUGACGGUAGUCGGAGAAGAAGCCCCGGCUAACUUCGUGCCAGCAGCCGCGGUAAUACGAAGGGGGCUAGCGUUGUUCGGAAUUACUGGGCGUAAAGCGCACGUAGGCGGAUAUUUAAGUCAGGGGUGAAAUCCCAGAGCUCAACUCUGGAACUGCCUUUGAUACUGGGUAUCUCGAGUAUGGAAGAGGUGAGUGGAAUUCCGAGUGUAGAGGUGAAAUUCGUAGAUAUUCGGAGGAACACCAGUGGCGAAGGCGGCUCACUGGUCCAUUACUGACGCUGAGGUGCGAAAGCGUGGGGAGCAAACAGGAUUAGAUACCCGGGUAGUCU
rnacentral:rRNA from 1 species